AUGAACUCCGAAACAGGGGAAUGCCUGUGGAAUGCUGAAAUGUCCAGGAAUUUUCUUCUCCCUGAGCUCCCAGAAGAGGAAGAAACGCCCACAGUCACAGCUGAGAUGGGGCCAGAAAGCAUCCACCUUCUCCAUUGGUCUCUGAGGUACUACAGGGUGAAAACGCUCUCUAACUUCUGUGUCCCCACCCCCAGCACACCACCUAGCCCACUGGACAGGCUCAACAAUUGUUAA
rnacentral:lncRNA from 1 species